AAAUCAUAUUCUUUAUUGAUGUUUGAACGCAUGUCCUGCAAUGUGCUUACCAGGAAAUUGAAGAGGUGGAUACGGAUGAACAUUAUCGACCUAAAUCUCCAAUAGGAAUCAUCAAUGUGACUCUGAAAGAGAAGGUUUGAAGGAGGUUUUAUCAGUUUAAAGCUUCUUUCAAUGGCAUGGUUUCCCCAUCUUAGAUGCCAACGUGCUGAUAAUCACCAAGCAAGCAAGAGGUUUAUGGAAAGUAUAAAUUUUUAGUCCAGGGUCGCAAGAUGGGUCAAUGUGAACCUCAUAAGUUGAAUUUCGGUUGUACGAAUGGGAUGGAAGACAAUACGUACGAGCGGGUGCCGCAAGGUCAAUCCUAUUAUUUUCCGUGUAUGGAUGGGACACAAGAGAGCGCAUUGCAAAUGGUGGACAAAAUUGGAAGCUCAUCUUUCAAUGAAUCAGGAAUGGCGAAUAGGUUUUGAACAGAUUCAGAAUAGGUUAUAUUUGAUUCUGAAUAGGUUUUGAACAGAUUCGAAACAGAUUAUAUUUGGUUUUGAACAGGUUUUGAACAGGUUUUGAAGAGGUUAAUUUUAGAUUUUGAACAGAUUCUGAACAGGUUUUGAACAGGUUCUGAAGAGGUUAAUUUCAGAUUUUGAACAGAUUCUGAACAGGUUCAGAAGCAGAAUCACAGGUUGAUUGUUUGAAGCAGAAUGACAAGUUCAGCAGAAUGAAGUUCAGAAUGAUGCAGUCCAGAAUAAAGCACUCCAGAAUUGAAGCUCAGAAUGAUGCAGUCCAGAAUUUAAGAAUGAUGCAGU